UUUAUCUUGAUUUACAGCAGAGAGAGAGAGAGGGAGUGUGCGAGAGAGAAUGGAGAGCUUUAAAUUGAUAUCAAUGGCGCCCGCGUGUGUGUGUGAGAGAGAGAUUUGAUAUCAAUGGUGGAUGAUCCUCCUCAUAAAGUGCUCCCGUAUACUCGCAAAGAGAGUUGCAGCUGAAUAGCUCUGUUUCCUUAUCUCUCAGAUGGCAAUCCUAGGCUCAAUGGUUUCCAUCAAGCCCGUUAAUGUUCCAAACUCCCCAUAUUCCCCUUGGCCUCUCGUGGCUUGCUUCUGAAAAUCAUUUCAGUUUUCAUGAGUUCAUGGUAUUAAAGGCCUCCAAGCAAUCCUGCCUUUUAUGAAGAAUGAAUGACUGAUGAUGUGUAACUGUGCGGGCGGGUCCAAGUACUCUAGGCUUAAUUCACACCAUUUGAAGGGUUUUCCUUACGUCAUCUUGGUCAUGCUGCUCAGGCGGGGUUGGAGUCUUCACAGCUGCCUGCUUCUGCUGAGGCUUCUCAUCCAAACAAGGUUUGAAAUCAGCAAGGAUGGCUAGCUCCUCCACUGCUGUGACUACAGUCUCGAUCCUGGAUGCUAUCUCUAUGAGAAGAGAGGCCAUUGUCACAAGAGGGAGCACCUCUAUGAGAGGUGAGACAUUGGUUACUGGUAUCUGUUGUUGUUGUUGCUGCCUCUUCUCUAGUUGUUGGGGUAAAUCUUUUAAGGAUUCUUGGAGGUCUUUUACUGAAUCGGCGAGUU